GUAAGGAAUAUUGGACAAUGGACGCAAGUCUGAUCCAGCCAUGCCGCGUGAAGGAUUAAGGUCCUCUGGAUUGUAAACUUCUUUUAUAAGGGACGAAAAAAGGCUUUUCUAAGUCGUCUGACGGUACCUUAUGAAUAAGCACCGGCUAACUCCGUGCCAGCAUCCGCGGUAAUACGGAGGGUGCAAGCGUUAUCCGGAUUCACUGGGUUUAAAGGGUGCGUAGGCGGGCAGGUAAGUCAGUGGUGAAAUACUAGAGCUUAACUCUAGAACUGCCAUUGAUACUAUCUGUCUUGAAUAUUGUGGAGGUAAGCGGAAUAUGUCAUGUAGCGGUGAAAUGCUUAGAUAUGACAUAGAACACCUAUUGCGAAGGCAGCUUACUACGCAUAUAUUGACGCUGAGGCACGAAAGCGUGGGGAUCAAACAGGAUUAGAAACCCGAGUAGUCC
rnacentral:rRNA from 1 species